rnacentral:rRNA from 1 species
GCAAGGGCAUACGGUGGAUGCCUUGGGAACCCAAGAGCGCAGAAGGACGUAGGAGACUGCGAUAAGCCUCGAGGAGCUGUCAACCAGCUAGAUUUGCGAGGAUUUCCGAAUGGGGAAACCCAGUCAUGAUAAAGUCUGAUUACCCCCUCCGCCUUAAAAUAGGGCGGUGGAGGAAACGCGGGAAGUGAAACAUCUCAGUACCCGCAGGAAGAGAAACAACCGUGAUUCCGAGAGUAGUGGCGAGCGAAAUCGGAAGAGGCCACCCUCGUACUCUGAAUAGCAGUUAAGCGUUGCGUGCGAGGGGGUUGUGGGAUCGGACAUGUCAUUUUUCCUCAAUGGCCGCAUCAAAAAACAUAGUGUUGUGGAAGCGAUUUGGAACGGUCCAUCACAGAGGGUGAGAAUCCCGUACACGAAACUCUAUUUCUGUUGUGUCAGACACCCAAGUAGCAGCGGGCCGUGAAAUCUGCUGUGAAUCUGCCUGACCACCCGGUAAGCCUAAAUACUCCUGUCACCGAUAGCGCAAUACCGUGAGUGAAAGGUGGAAAGUUACCCCGAGAGGGGGUAAAUAGACCUGAACGCGUGUGCCUACAAUCCGUCAGAGCCGCAAGGUGAUGGCGUGGCCUUUUCAGAAUGAGCCUGCGAGUUAGCGGCAUGUGGCAAGGUUAACCCGGAGAGGGGCAGCCGUAAGCGAAAGCGAGUCCGAAUAGGGCGUUUGAGUCGCAUGUUCUAGACCCGAAGCGGAGUGAUCUAACCCUGGGCAGGGUGAGGCGAGGGUAAGACCUCGUGAGGCCCGAACCCACUUCGUUGAAAAUGGAGGGGAUGACCUGUGGGGUAGGGGUGAAAGGCCAUCAAACCCGUGGAUAUCUGUUCUCCCCGAAAUGCAUUUAGGUGCAGCGUCGCGCUUUUCUUGCCGGAGUAGAGCUCUGGAUGGUCCUAGGGGGAGGGGCCCACAACUGACCGAAAUCAGCCAAACUCCGAAUGCCGGUAAGUGAGAGCGCGGCAGUGAGACUGCGGGGCGAUAAGGGUGUCGCUCAGUUCGAGAGGGAAACAGCCCAGAUCGCCGACUAAGGCCCCUAAGAGUGUGCUAAGUGGAAAAGGAUGUGGAUUCGUCAUAGACAACCAGGAGGUUGGCUUGGAGCAGCCACCCUUCAAGAGGCUAUGCUCCUGGUCAAUGAUUCCGGCGCCGACAAUGUAUCGGGGCUCAAGCAGAUAAACCGCCGACGUGCGCCGGUCAUUCGUACAUCGUACGGAGGGUAGGGGAGCGUCGAAUAGCCUUUGAGCUGCGGAUUAUCCGUGGGGAGUCUAUUCGAGUGAGAAUGCAGGCAUGAGUCGCGAAAGCAAUGUGAGAAACAUUGCCACCGUAUGACGAGUUUUUUUUUCGGCUGGGCCAGUUAAUAUCCGCCCAGGGUUAGUCGGGACCUAAGGCGAGGCCGACAGGCGUAGUCGAUGACCCGGGUAGAUAUUCCCGUACCGGCGUGAACGCGCCCAGGUGAAUCAGUGAUACUAAAACUAUCCCAAAGCGUGCGCUCCUUUCGGAGCAAUCGUGGCGGCAUGGGACCUGAUCUGGUAGUAGCCAAGCGAUGGGGUGACGCAGGAAGAUAGCGGAUCCAGUGAAUGGUAGUACUGGUGUAAGCCCGGGCCCGUGGGUAUAGGCAAAUCCGUACCACACAAGGGUGAGAGGUGAUGCAUAGCCGAUGAGGCGAAUUCCGUGAUUCUAAUGCUGCCAGAAAAGCCUCUAGCGAGCUUUCACGCCGCCCCGUACCCCCAAACCGACACAGGUAGUCAGGUAGGCGUCAUCCAAAUGUGUCGAAGAUAACCGUGGUUUAAGGACUCGGCAAAUACCCCCGUAACUUCGGGAAAGGGGGCAUGUUUGGUGACCAACUUUGCUUGGCGAGCUGAAUGUGGCCGCAGAGACCAGGGAGAAAGCGUCUGUUUUACUAAAACACAGGUCCGUGCGAAGUCGUAAGACGAUGUAUACGGACUGACCCUGCCCGGUGCUGGAAGUUAAUAUGACCGGUUUAGCCGCAAGGCGAAGCUGAGAAUUGAAGCCCCAAGUAAACGGCGGUGGUAAAACUCUAACCAUCUAAGGUAAGCGAACUUCCUUGUCGGUAAGUUCCGACCUGCACAAUGGCGUCACGACUUCUCUAACUGUCUCAACCACGGACUCGGGGCGAAUUGCACUACGAGUAAAGAUGCUCGUUAAACACGCGCCGGCGAGGACGAAUAUACCCCGGGACCUUCACUAUAGCUUGGUAUUGGUGUUUGGUUCGAUUAUGUGUAGGCUGUUGGGAGAAAACUAGUGAGCAGGGACGCCAGUAUCUUGUGGAUGUCAACGUUUGAACUACCACUCUUAUCUUGACAUUUGCCCUCUCUCAACAUACUGUGAAGGCAGCACGAAAGGAAGAGAUGCAGGACCGUGAUCCGGUUCAGGAACAGUGCCUGGUGGGUAGUUUAACUGGGCGGUUGCUCCCAAAAUGUAACGGAGGCGCCCUAAAGGUUCCCUCAGCCUGGUUGGCAAUCAGGUGUUGAGUGUAAGUGCACAGGGCGCUUGACUGUGAGAGUGACAUCUGACAGGGACGAAAGUCGGGACUAGUGAUCCGGCACCGGCAAGUGGAAGCGGUGUCGCUCAACGGAUAAAAGGUACCCCGGGGAUAACAGGUGAUCAGCGCCCCAAGGAGUCCAUAUCGCGGGAUGGUUUGGCACCUCGAUGUCGGCUCGUCGCAUCCUGGGGUCGUAGUAGUUCCCAAGGGUUGGCUGUUCGCCCAUUAAAGCGGCACGCGGAGACUGGGUUUAGAAAGUCGUGAGGACAGUUCGGUAUUAUCCGCCGCGCGCGUUAAGAAACUUGAGCAAGGUGUCCAUAGUACGAGAGGACGGGAGGACGACCUCUGUGUGCCAGUUUUCUGCCAAGAGAAUGCUGGUUAAGCACGGUUCGGAAUGGAUAACGCUGAAAGCAUCUAAGCGGGAAGCCAGUCAUAGAUGCGGUUUCUCACCACCAUGCUGGGUAAGGCCCCAGGACGAUCAUCGGGUUUGAUAGGCCGGAACUGGAAGUGUAGUAACAUAAAUGCAGGUGACCGGUACUAAUAGGCCGAGGGCUUUACUA